CGCAUCUGUGCAUGCAGCAUAUCAAUAAGCGGAGGAAAAGAAACUAACAAGGAUUCCCCUAGUAACGGCAAGUGAAGCGGGAAGAGCUCAAAUUUGAAAUCUUAAAGGGUUUCCCUUUACGAAUUGUAGUUUAAAGAAGUGUUUUCUGUUGAGGUUUUGGUAAAAGUUCUUUGGAAUAGGACAUCAUAGAGGGUGAGAAUCCCGUAUUUGACCUUUACUUUCAACUUUGUGAUACACUUUCAAAGAGUCGGAUUGUUUGGGAAUGCAGUCCAAAAUGGGUGGUAAAUUUCAUCUAAAGCUAAAUAUUGGCGAGAGACCGAUAGCGAACAAGUACCGUGAGGGAAAGAUGAAAAGAACUUUGAAAAGAGAGUUAAACAGUACGUGAAAUUGUCAAAAGGGAAGCGUUUGACACCAGUGUUGUUUUUCUGAAAAUCAAUUAAAGAACUGUUUAUGCUAAGCUGUUUAGACUUUAUCAGCUAACUGUUUAGUUUUGAGCUUUUCUUUAAUGCACUUUUCAGUUAACAAGUCAACAUCAAUUUCUUUUGCUGUAAAAAAGCUUGAGGAAGGUGGCUUGAGAUUCGUCUUAAGUGUUUAUAGCCUCUUGCCUAUGCAGUCGGAGAGAUUGAGGUCUGCAGCGUAGAUCCUUCGGGGCUAAAUGCAGUUUGUGCUAAGUUAUAGCAUUUUAUAGACAACUUGUUGACUAUGAUUUGUCUUGUAGCUUACUCGCUUAUGUUAUUUUACCUACGCUUAGGAUGUUGACAGCAGUAUAGACUGU
rnacentral:rRNA from 1 species